rnacentral:lncRNA from 1 species
CUGUUGUAAUUUGUAACAAUGCCUCAUGCUUAGUCUACGAAGCACCAUGAAGCUUCCACAUUGAGGUCUCCAUCGCACCAAAUCGGUGUCUUCAAUUCGAAGUUCAGUAAGUUUCAAAAAACUCCCCGGUGUUAUGUCCCACUCUGGGCCUCGAAAGGCAUAACAUUCUAAUAUGAGACUUUCUAGAUUUGGCAGCAACGAACCAAUAUCAUUCAUGUACUUCCAAGGAUACCCCAACCCAAUCAAAUGUAGCAUUUUGAGACUUGACGGAAACAUUGAAAAAGGAAUAGUAUUAAACUCAUACUUUAUCUCAGGAUUCCAGACCCAAUAUGCAAGUGUAUGCAAAUUCUGGAGUUGUGAUAUAUAACUCAAGCAACUCAAUGGGUCGGUUUCAUCAUCAUCAUAAGGCUUCAAUUGCACUUCAAUUCCUAAUUGCCUUAAAUUAGGAAUUCUUUUGAGAACUUCCCUUGUACAACUAUUUGCACUCACACCCCACAGUCUGACGAGUUUGUUCAAGGUAGCAUCAUCAGUAUUAGGGGUUGGUAGGUCCCUUCCCCGGACAUCAAUACACUCUAGUUCUUGCAUCUCCCAAAUUUGCUCAGGCAUAUAUGACUGAACUCCACGCUUUUUAAUGCUCAUAUGCCUAUCAAUAAUCAAGGAUUGAAGGUGAAAAAGGUUGGAUAUAGAAGGAGGGAGGUCCCCGUUGCAAGUUAGGGAAAGGUACGCAACAAACUAGUUUCAAAAUUUCAAUGGGAUAUGGUAAAAUCGACAUAAGCAUGUAGUACCUUGAGCAACUUGAACCAUGGCAUUAUAUUGGAUAUGGGUGAUAAGGACCAUACAAAGGAGAGAACGGACAGUGGAUGCACAAUCACUUUUUAUCGAAUCACAAACUUGUUUGAAGCAAAAUAAACUGUUCCAAUGAACACACAACCGACGUUGAUCUCUUAUAACAUCAUCACAACUUUGUAAGACAUGCAGAAACUUGAUCCUACUAGCUUCUUCCUUACACAAGUGCUGCCAGCAAGAAUGCACGCGAUACUCUCUCAACAUAGAUAAAGAAUUUGAUCUGGCGGAAACAAGAUGAUACCGCAUAAGCUUUUUCAAGAAAUCUUCAAAACUUUCUUCUCUAAUCAGUUCAAGAAACCCCUCAGUACUCAACAGGUUGUUGAGAAUGGAUGGACUGAUAUCACGAUAUGGAGCGAAUGCUCCCAUAUAGAGGAAAAACAUUUUUAGAUGUUGGAGUAAGUAGUCAUAGCUUGGAAAUAGUACCUCUGAUAUUUGAUUAUAUGCAUCCUCGAAAAUUGGGUUAUGUUGUUUGUAGGCUACCUCAGUCCAGUAUUCAGGGGUCUUGUCAGCUUUUGUUAGGAGCUCUGCGACCGUGACUAUCAUAAGAGGAAGACCUUCACAUUUCUUGGCAAUCUCCUCUCCAAGUUCCUUAAGUUGAGGAGGGAAACUGUCUUCACCAAACACCUUCUCACCAAGUAAUUUCUUACUUUCUUCCUCAUUCAACAAGCGCACUCUUACGCGCCUAUAUUGCUUCUGGAAUUUUAUAUCUUGUCUACUUGUAAGUAAGUAUCCAAUCCUUCCAACAAUAUUCUUCUCUUGCAAGCAAUGUGUCAAGCGAUUUGCUACUCGUAUCUCCCAUACAUCAUCCAACACGAUGAGACAUUUCUUAUCCUUCAAUUUUUCUUUCAAUAGUCCAACUACUUCCUCAUCAUCUCCUUGGGUAAGCAUUUGGUAAGCGUUGGAAUACACUUGAGCUAGAAUGCAUCGUAAUAAUUCAUUGGGUUCGCAUUUUCUGCCCACUUUGACCCAUGCUCGAAACUCAAAAUGGCUCUGAAUUGAUGGAUCUUCAAAUAUAUGUUUAGCAACAGUUGUCUUUCCAAUGCCCGCCAUCCCAAUAAUCGAAAUGUUUUUACCUUCAAGAAGAUCAUCUCUGGCGUUUUGAAAUUCAUAAGAUAAUUCAACCAUCUUUGACUUGAUUCCACCAAAAUUGAUUCUUGAGGAAAUAGGCUCUCCUUCUUCUUCAGGCAUAUUCCCCAUUUCAAUGAUGUACUCCUCCUCCAUCAUUUUCAUUUUCUUGAUGAAGCAAUCAACAUGGUCUUGCAGUCUCUGCAGAUCUACAGAGAAUGACAAUUUGUCUCUCUCGCUUUCGAGUUGUGGAAGAAUCUGAUGCAAGACAUGGGAUUCAAGUAAAUCUUCAAAUUCCCAAAUUACCUCUUUGAUUCGUUCAUCCAAAGCAUUCACCUUGGUCCUGAUCUUGCUGCAGCUGGUGUCGUCCAAUUUUAGCAGAACUCUCUGCAAGCGAUCCAUCUCGUUGUAGACAGGCUGUAAGAUUUGUGGAGGGUGGGAAACGAGAGAACUACAAGACAAUUGUAGAAUUCGCCUAAUCAUGUUCUUGAGAAAAGUUGCUGCACCAUAAGCCGCCAUACACAAAUCAUCCGCUGAGGAUACGACUUGUGGAGAGCGUGACACGAGAGAAAUGCAUAACAAUAGUAGAAUACCCCGAAUCAUAUUCAUGAGAGAAAUCUCCCCACCACCAGCCGAGAAUGAAACGACAGAAAUGCAAAACAAUAGUAGAAUACGCAGAACCGUAUUCUUGAGAGAAGUCGCUGCACCAUAAGCCACCUUACACAAAUCAUCAGCUGUGAAUACGAUUUGUGGAGAGCGCGAAACGAGGGAAAUGCAAACCAAUAGUAGAAUACCCUUAAUCGUAUUCUUGAGACCAUAAGGCCCAACCCAAAUCAUCAUCACCUGAGAAUACGAUUCGUGGAGAGGGUGAAACGAUAGAAAUGAAAAACAAUAGUAGAAUACCCAUCAUCGUAUUGAAGAUAAAAAUCGCUGCAGCAUAAGGCACCGCAGACAAACCAUCAGCUGAGAAUAGGAUCUGUGGAGAGCGCGAAACGAGAGAAUUGCAAAACAAUAGUACAAUAGGCUGAAUCUCAUUCUUGAGAUAAUACAUCGCUGCACCAUAAGCCUCCUUCCAAAAAUUAUCAGCUGGAAGAUCAAUGCAAAGCAAUAGUACAAUAAACGGAACCGUCACAGUCACAAUCAAGAUAGAAAUCGCAAGACAAGACACAAGAAACAAAACAAAAGCUGAGAAUAGGAUUUGUGAAGAGGAUGUGAGCAAAAUGCAGAACAAUAGUAGAAUAGCAAGAAUUAUAGUAAGGAGAAAAUUCGCGCCACCAUAAGCCUCUACAACCCAAAGAUCAGCUGAGUCGAAGAUUUGUGGAGUGCGUGAAAUGGAAGAAAUGCAAAACAAUAGUAGAAUACCCAGAAUCGUAUUCAUGAGAGAAAUCAGUGCCAUACCCAAAUCAUCAGCUGAGAAUACUAUUUGUGGAUAGGCUGAAGCGAGAGAAAUGAUAAACGACGAUUGUUGAAUAUGCUGAAUCAUGUUCUUCAGAGAAGCCACCGCACCAUAAGCCGCCAUACACAAAUAAUCAGCUGAGAAGGUGCAAGCGAGCAAAAUGAAAAACAAUCGUAGAAUACGGUGAAUCCUAUUCAUGUGAGGAGACGCUGCUCUUGCACCAUAAGGCUCCAUACUGAAAUAAUCUUCAUCAUUGGAUACUACCAAUAGUGGAUUGGAGUCGACCGAAUCGCCAAACCUUUGAUAAAGACGCUGAAUCGUAUUCUUGAGAGAAACCACCGCACCAUAAGCCGCCAUACACAAAUUAUCAGCUGGGAUCGCAUUCUUGAGAAAAGUCACUGCAGCCAUACGCAGAUCAUGAGCUGAGAAUACGAUUUGUGGAGAGGGAGGAGUGAGAGAAAUGCGAGACGAUUGUAGAAUAGUGAAUGUAUCUUAGAGAAGCCGCCGCACCAUAAGCAGCCAUAGACUUGAUUGGAAAUACGAUUUGUGGAGAGGGAGGAGUGAGAGAAAUGCGAGACGAUUGUAGAAUAAGCUGAAUCGUACUCUUCAGAGAAGCCGCCGCACCAUAAGCCGCCAUUGGAAUUGCUUAGCUCUGCAAUUUUCCUCCAAACUGAAGAGAAAAAUAAGUAAUUAUAAUCAGCUCCAGUCUCCAGAAAUCACCUAACAAUGAAACGGAGAAGAAUGAGUAAUUAUAAUAAGCAAAUUGAGAUAGAAACAGAUGACAGAACUUACCUCUCAUACAGCGGCAGCAGCCGCGUUCAUGUUCGGUGGUAACAGGAAAUGGAAAUCUUGUAUUUCACAAUGGAGAUUUUGCCAAACAAGGAAUAGUGACUUAUCUGAAAAUUCACAUAUAUCUGCAAUUUCGAAAUCAACUUUGCUUUGAAUGUUUUUCAACUACCAAAGUUGAUACCCACCUCCAAUUAAUAUUUAUUAGACGUCAAUGUGAAAAUAGAAGAUUGAGUCCCUUUCUAUGUUCGUGUGUUGGUUAAGCGGUAAAUGUCCAAGGCCAAAGAUCUUGGAUUCGAGUCCAUCUGGUGCGGCCUUUAAAUUUAUUUAUUUCAUGCUUUCAAUUUAUCAAAAAGAAAAAGAAAAAGAUUGAGUCCGUUACUACGACGCCAUAAAAUUCAUGUACAAGUCGUGCUUUGUUUUUGCAUGGCUAUUGAUUUCAAUAUUAAACCUUCUUUACAUCAACAUAAUUAUUUAACGUCUACUUUAUUCAAUUUUGUAUAAAGGAAUAUUUUUUUAAAAAAUGCUAAAAAGUUUGAAGACUAAAGAAAACAAAAAUUGUGGUAAUUUUUUUUAGAAAGCUAAAGGGUGAGAAAAAAAGAAAAGAUUAAUCUUAAUAAUAUAAUUUAUAAGUUGCUGUUGGCAUGUCCCUAGCCAGAUACAUGGUACAAACACGCCUUCAUUAAUUAAACACAUUUUUAUUGGAGUUGCUUUUUCUCAGGGGUGGAUUAGCGUGUGUUUAGAGGUUUGACUAUUCAUUAAGCCCAUAAUUUUGCUACUUGUUGCAUUUAUUUUAUGUUUUUAUUAUUAUUAUAUAUUUAUUGAAAGGUUUUUUAUUGUUGUUUAAUUACUUAUAAAUUAAGUUGGUAAUUUUUUAGGAAAUGACAAUGCAGAAAUGGGACAGGACAUCCUCUCCGGUCGAGUAGACCACAUACNNNNNNNNNNNNNNNNNNNNNNNNNNNNNNNNNNNNNNNNNNNNNNNNNACGCCCAUCAGUGCGAUGCACGACGAACAUCAAAAUUAAAUGACACAUUUAAAUAAAUAAGUAUAAAUAUUAAAUAAAAUAUAAAUAAAUAAAAAUAUGUCUUAAAAAUAAAAUAAAAUUAUUAAAUCAUUUUAAAUAAUUUGAUGGAAUUAACCUUACACAUUAUUAUCAACAUGUACGACAUGCUGUCGCAUAGGGUCCCAAAUUUUUUGGGGUCCAAUUUUUUUUAUACAUAGUAUAUAUAUAUAAAUUAUUCUUGCUUAGCAAUAAGAUACUUAUUUACGGAGCUUCGUCUUAUGAAAGUUCUUUUUAUCAUUUAAAUCACACCAUUAGUUUUGAAUUCUUAAUACCUUAUCUUUUCUUCUCUUUUGAUUGAAAACUCUUUAGAAUAAUUGGUUGAAAAUUUUUAUAUUAAUAUACUAUUAUUGUAUCGUCAAUAUCAAAUAAAAUUAUAUGGGCCCAUUUUCUAAUUUUUGCUUAGGGUCCUAUGAAAUACAGGACCGGUCCUAAUUAUUAUUAUAAAGUAUUGCAUGUCAUAAGAAAAAAAAAAUCAUACACAAACAUAAAUAAAAACUUGUAAAAUUUUAACUAAGAGAGAUAAAAUGAAAUAUUAUAAAGUUUUCAUAACUUAUUCAAUCUAAAUUCAUUUUUUAUGAUUUUUAUAUCAUAGUAAAUACUUUCUCACAAAAUUAAAUUUAAGGUGUUUAUUAAAUAUUUAUUCAUUAAUGAAAUUUGAUGGUUUUUAGAAAAUAAUUAAAUUAUAUAAAAAAAUAAAUUGGAGGGAAAAAUUGGAGGCAAAAACUCCUUUUUUAUACUCCCUAUGUCCUCUAAUUCAAGACCUAAGAGGCAAACACGAAUUUUAAGAAAAAAAUGUAUUUUUAAAUGAGUGGAGAAAGAAACCCACAAAGUGUAUUGUUUAAUUAUUAGUUGAGUGGAGAAAAAAUGUAUUGUUUAUUGGGAUCCACUAAUUAAAAUAUGAAUAAAAACUUACUAAAAAUAGAUAGUCCUUGAGUUGGUGGACGGACCAAAAAUAAAAAAAGACCUUAAAUUAGUGGACGGAGAGAGUAUAUUAUAUAGAUAUAGAUUAUAUAGAUUUCCUCUACUUAUCAUGAGUAAUGUUAAAUUUACUUAUAGAAUGUUUGUUUCUUUUUCCUUUUAACCGCAGAUAUCAUGAUCAAAAAUAUUAAAUUUACAAAUCAAAUCAAAACCUAAUUUAUUAAAUUUAUUCAUCUCUUUUAAAUUAAAGGAGAAAUAAAUAAAUCAACCUUGAUUUUUACGUAAUUUGUGAAUUUAAUAAAUCAACCUUAAUUGUUAAUUAGUUCUAGAAAGAAUUUAUUUCCAAAAACUGACUAAAUGUCCGACGUACGGUUACCAAGGGAAUAUUCACUCGAUAAUUUCGUGCUAAAAUUUACGAAUGCCACAAUCCAUCGGGUAAAAAAAUUUACAGACAUCGAAAAUUACUAUCGCGUUAGAAGAGAACAUGAAACUCCCGAGCUCAAUCGAUCACACUAAUUAAAACAGAAUAUAAACAAGUAGAUAGUUAAAAUAGCUUGAAACUCCCUUUGAUUUCUAAUAAAGUUUUCUGAUAGAGUCUCUAAAUAACCUUUGAUUUCUGGUGGUUGUGCCAACAUAUGGCUUCAACUGUGAGUCUGCGGCAGGGGAAGCAACUCUCGAUUCAGAAGCAACAUAAGCUAGCCUGAACUGCAAAACGACGAUGUACCCUUCACUUGUAAAACAUGUUUUCACACUAAUCCUUCAACAAGGGACUAAUGUUUUCACACUAAUCCAACUUUCAAACAAUUUUGGUUACAAACACAAUCCAGCACUCAGGUUUUCAUAACCAUCAACAAAAUCCUUCGAUGGGCUCUUUCAUUUGCCUGAAAAUCGAUAGAUGGACAAUCUCAAAUACUGUGACUUAACAGAAUCAUUAAGACGUAAUAUUGCAAAGUAGAAAGACUAACCUGUUAGGCAAGUUGCAGACUCACUUGACCUCAAAACGAAGAUUCGAUGACAAGUUCAAAGGAAAACUUGUCUUUUAAUUCCUUGGCACAAGCGACGGCUAAAGGAUUGCACUCGCAUAAAUGAAUGAUCUCUAUUGAAGAGUGGUCAUACGGCCAAUCAAGCUGUUGUAAUUUGUAGCAAUGCUGCAUGCUUAGUCUACGAAGCUCCGGGAAGCUUCCACGUUGAGGUUUCCAUCGCACCAAAUCGGUGUCGAAAAUUUGAAGUUCAAUAAGUUUCAAAAAACUCCCUGGUGUUAUGUCCCACUCUGGGCCUCGAAAUGCAUAGUCGAAUAAUAUGAGAAUCUCGAGAUUUGGCAGCAGCGAACCAAUAUCAUUCAUGUAAUUCCAAGGAUACCCCCCUAAACCUGACAACAUUAACACCUUGAGACUUGAUGGAAACAUUGAAAGAGGAAUCGUAUUACACUCAUACUUUAUCUCGGGAUUCUUAACCCAAUAUUCAAGUACCUCCAAAUUCUGGAGUUGGGAGAUAUAACCCAAACAACUCAAUGGGUUUCUUUCAUCAUCAUCAUCAUCAUAAGGCUUCAACUCCACUUCAAUCAUUAAUUCCUUUAAAUUAGGAAUUCUUUUGAAAACUUCCCUUGUACAACUGUUUGCACUCACACUAUAAAGUGAGGUGAGUUUGUUCAAGGUAGCAUCAUCAGUAUUAGGGGUUGGUAGGUCGCUUCCCCAAAUCUGAAUCUGCUCUAGUUCUUGCGUGUCCCAAAUUUGCACAGGCAUAUAAGACUGAACUCCACGCUUUUUAAUGUACAUAUGUGGAAUUAUAAUCAAGAAUUGAAGGUGAAAAAGGUUGGAUAUGGUAGGAGGGAGUUCCCUGUUGCAGUUUAGGGCAAGGUACCGCAGACAAAUAAGUUUUAAAAUUUCAAUUGGGAUAUGGUAAAAUCGGACACGUAGAGCAUUUAGUACCCUGAGCAACUUGAAACCCAUGGCAUGUAUUGGGAUUGGAUAUGGGUGAUAAGGACCAAAACAAAGGACAGAACGGGCACUGGAUGCACAAUCACUUUUUAUCAAACCAUACACUUGUUUGAAGCCAAAUAAAUUAUUGUAAUGGGUACACAAGCGGCGCUGGUCUUUUAUAACAUCAUCGCAACCUCGUAAGACAUGUAGAAACUUGAUCCUACUAGCUUCUACCUUACAUAAGUGCUGCCAACAAGAAUGCACGCGAUACCGUCUACACGAAUACCAAGAAUUUCUGGUGUCGAGAACAAGAUGAUACUCCUCAGAAAGCUUUUCCAAAAAAGUUUCAAAACUUUUUUCAUCAUUCAGUUCAAGAAAUCCCUCAACACUCAAAAGACAAUUAAUAUCGCAUGGUCUCUGAUCAGCAUAAGGAGGGAAAGCUCCCAUAUAGAGGAAGAACAUUUU